CUUUGGGGGACAUUAAGAUCCAAAUCAUAACAUACAACCUUACUGAGUCUGAUUUUCUGAAGAGUAUACAGUGGAGUGGUCCUAAGGCUAAAUGGUGUGUGACUUCCUAGCAGAUUGAAUGGAGAAGCAGACAAGAGACCCCUAAGUGUCUUCUAGUAAACUGAUAUGAAUAAGAUCUGCAACAA